UAGGGAAUCUUCCGCAAUGGGCGAAAGCUUGACGGAGCAACGCCGCGUGAGUGAUGAAGGUCUUCGGAUCGUAAAACUCUGUUAUUAGGGAAGAACAAAUGUGUAAGUAACUAUGCACGUCUUGACGGUACCUAAUCAGAAAGCCACGGCUAACUACGUGCCAGCAGCCGCGGUAAUACGUAGGUGGCAAGCGUUAUCCGGAAUUAUUGGGCGUAAAGCGCGCGUAGGCGGUUUUUUAAGUCUGAUGUGAAAGCCCACGGCUCAACCGUGGAGGGUCAUUGGAAACUGGAAAACUUGAGUGCAGAAGAGGAAAGUGGAAUUCCAUGUGUAGCGGUGAAAUGAGCAGAGAUAUGGAGGAACACCAGUGGCGAAGGCGACUUUCUGGUCUGUAACUGACGCUGAUGUGCGAAAGCGUGGGGAUCAAACAGG
rnacentral:rRNA from 1 species